CCUGGUUGAUCCUGCCAGUAGCAUAUGCUUUACCUGGAGAUUAAGCCAUGCAUGUCUAAGUAUAACUUUAUACGGCGAAACUGCGAAUGGCUCAUUAAAACAGUUAUAAUUUAUUUGAUGAUGUAUUUAUAUGGAUAACCGUUGGGAAACUACGGCUAAUACAUGCAUAAAGACCUCAGGGUUGUAUUUAUUAGUUUUUCCAGUCUCUGACUGUGAGGAGUCAUAAUAACUGAUCGGAGCGCACUUGUGUGCGCUAAAUCUUUCAAGUAUCUGCCCUAUCAGAUUGUUGGUAGUGUAUUGGACUACCAUGUCGAUCACGGGUAACGGAGAAUUAGGGUUCGAUUCCGGAGAGGGAGCCUGAGAAACGGCUACCACAGCUACGGUAGGCAGCGGGUGCGUAAAUUACCCAAUCCAAAUUCUGGAAGGUAGUUACAGGGAGUUUGUGCGAUAGAACUAUGUUCUAGACACAAAUGAAUACAUUUAAGCAUUGUGUGUUAGAUUGGAGGGCAAGUUUUGGUGCCAGCAGCCGCGGUAAUUCCAACUCCAAUAGUGUAUCUUAAUUUUGCUGCAGUUAAAAAGCUCGUAGUUGAAUUUCUGGCUGUUUCUGGUUCCUAUCGGUUCCGGAGGCGGUCAUCCGCUUGGAGAAGCUUGGUUUCUGUCAAAAGUUGCCAUGACGACCCAGCAUUUUACUUUGAAGAAAUUAGAGUGUUCCUAGCAGGCCUUGCUUGAAUAUAUUAGCAUGGAAUAAUGGAAUAAGACUUA
rnacentral:rRNA from 1 species